rnacentral:rRNA from 1 species
UACAGAGGGUGCGAGCGUUAAUCGGAAUUACUGGGCGUAAAGCGCGCGUAGGCGGCUUUGUAAGUCGGUUGUGAAAUCCCCGGGCUUAACCUGGGAACUGCAUCCGAGACUGCAUAGCUAGAGUAUGGGAGAGGGAAGUGGAAUUUCAGGUGUAGCGGUGAAAUGCGUAGAUAUCUGAAGGAACAUCAGUGGCGAAAGCGACUUCCUGGACCAGUACCGACGUUCAGGCACGAAAGCGUGGGGAGCAAACAGG